UUUGAAUUACAUAUAUGUACACAUACACAUAUAAUAUACAGAGAGAGUUUUGAUAUUGAUUUGAAUGCCAUCAGCAUACCUAAAGGCCAAUGGAACCAACAACAUAAUGUCCAUAAAUAUAUCUUGACUCAUACUUCACGAAUCCAAAAACUGUUGAUAUAUUAAAAACUAAAAAGAAUAAAAUGUGAUAAUCAAAAUUUUUUGACGGACCCUAGUCUAGGCCGGGAAAGCCCGAGUCUCCCUUGGUUUAGCUCCUUCCUUCCUAUGAACCCUCCCACCUCCAAAGGCCCGACCCAACCACCUCCGCAUAGCCUGGGACAAACUCGAAGGCCUCCGCCCCGGUUCGACGCCCCGACUCUGGUGCUGGGCCAGUGGGCGAGGCGGUCUGGCGAACCAGCCCGGGCUCGGAGCGGAGUAGCUCCUCCUGAGAAUGGUCCGGUUCAGCUGGAUCUCGAAGGUAAGCCGCUCGAACUCGUCAAGCAGCGUGGUGUGGUGAUCCCCCAAUAAGACGUGAAGGCCUCCUCUUCUGCCUUCCUCCAUGGCAGCAGAAGAAAAGGAAGAGAGUUUAUUUAUUUAGAUUCAUUCUCGUGAAGGGAUCUGGGCUUGAAAUAAAGUGAGCAUCUAAUGCUUUGUGUGCUCAUUAAUGCCGUAUUUAUUGACGCUUUGACGUGCUUGGGAGGUCAGGCACCAGAGAGUCCGAUGUAGAGCG
rnacentral:lncRNA from 1 species